UUGGAGGGCAAGUCUGGUGCCAGCAGCCGCGGUAAUUCCAGCUCCAAUAGCGUAUAUUAAAGUUGUUGCAGUUAAAAAGCUCGUAGUUGAAUUUCGGGAUCAAUAUGUCGGUCGUGCCUUCGGUACGUACUGGUAUCAUUGGUUUCUCCCUUCUGACAAACCAUGAUGUCAUUAAUUUGGUGUUAUGGGGAGUUAGGACUGUUACUUUGAAAAAAUUAGAGUGUUUAAAGCAGGCAUUAGCUUGAAUACAUUAGCAUGGAAUAAUGAAAUAGGACGUUUGACCCUAUUUUGUUGGUUUCUAGGAUCGACGUAAUGAUUAAUAGGGAUAGUUGGGGGCAUUAGUAUUCAAUUGUCAGAGGUGAAAUUCUUGGAUUUAUUGAAGACUAACUACUGCGAAAGCAUUUGCCAAGGAUGUUUUCAUUAAUCAAGAACGAAAGUUAGGGGAUCGAAGACGAUCAGAUACCGUCGUAGUCUUAACCAUAAACUAUGCCGACUAGGGAUCGGAUGAUGUUAAUUUUUUAAUGACUCAUUCGGCGCCUUACGGGAAAC
rnacentral:rRNA from 1 species